rnacentral:rRNA from 1 species
CCCUUAGAUGUCCUGGGCCGCACGCGCGUUACACUGAUGCAUUCAACGAGCUUAUAACCUUGGCCGAGAGGCCUGGGCAAUCUUGUUAACGUGCAUCGUGAUAGGGAUAGAUUAUUGAAAUUAUUAAUCUUGAACGAGGAAUUCCUAGUAAACGCAGAUCAUCAAUCUGCAUUGAUUACGUCCCUGCCCUUUGUACACACCGCCCGUCGCACCUACCGAUUGGAUGGUCCGGUGAAGCCUCGGGAUUGUGGUUCUUGCCGCUUUAUUGUGGCGUGACCGCGAGAACUUGUCUAAACCUUAUCAUCUAGAGGAAGGUGAGGUCGUAACA